UGGUUGAACAGAAUAAUUUUCUUUAGCAAAAAUAGUAUUUAAAAAAAAUACAUGUAAUAUCGCCAAAUGUCGACUACACCGUGUAGCAACACGACAGCUCCCGGGUCUGUUUUUUGGAUGUGUAAAGAGAUUGAUAAUUUACUGUAUUGACUCUAUUGGUAAAUGCGCUCGCAAAGGGUGUUUACCGCGUGCCAUGUGACAAAAAAGAGGCGGGGUUGUGAGUUAAGUCAUCCAUGUAUGUGGCUCUCUGGCGCCGCUGCCCACCUACUCCAGUCUGUUUUCACUGGAAGUGAGAGGAGUGGUUGAAGGAAAAAAAGAGAUUCGGUGUUUGACUAACUUCUUAUUUGGUGUGCUUUUACGACAAGAUAUUUCAGGAUUAAACAGAGAUGGUGGAGGCCCACCAGGCAGUGGCGUUCCAGUUCACCAUCACCCCUGAGGGGAUUGGCCUGCGCCUUUCCUACCAGGCCCUGUCCCAGAUCUACCUCUCUGGCCGGGGCUCCGGGAAGAAGAGAAUCAGCCGCAUGAGGUAGUCUUUCUCUGAGUGCUCAGGGCCAGACCAUGCUGUCAGUGCUGGUGUUCAGUACCCUGCUGUGGCUAUCUUUCAUCCUGACCCUGAGGUUCUGUCUCAAGCUGCUGCUCUCCUACCACCGCUGGAUGUUCGAGCAGCACGGCCACAUCACCACCACCACCAAAGUCUGGUUGUUCCUGGAGUCAGUGCGUCUGUUGCUGAGUGGUCCAGGGUUCGAACGCAUGACUGUGUUGUCGGCUCAGUUUGAGAACAGUCUGGGGAACAGGCUGCAGCGCUAUCUCAAGCUCAAAGCUCUGUGGGCUACCAACUAUGUGAGUGACUGGUGGGAGGAGUACAUCUACCUGAGAGGACGAGGCCCCAUCAUGUUCAACAACAACUACUAUGUCAUGGACUUUCUGUAUGUGACUCCCACGCCCAUCCAGGCAGCGAGGGCCGACAGCACCGUCACUGCUCUGCUGCUCUACCGACGCAAGGUCAACAGUGAGCAGCUCAAACCUUUCACCCUGGCCACAGAUGACUUCCAACUGGGUUACACAGAGGACGGCCACAGUAAGGGAGAGGUGCAACUCUCCACCCCCUCAGAGACUCACCUGGGACAUCCCUGUGGAGGUUCAGGAGCAGGUGUCCAUCUCUCUGUCUGUGGCACAGGCCCUAGCUGAGGAUGUGGACUGUCAUGUCUUCCCCUUCAGGGACUUUGGGAAGGGACUCAUCAAGAAGCUGAAGAUCAGCCCAGAUGCCUUCAUUCAGUUGGCUCUGCAGCUAGCUUACUAUAGGGAUCGUAAGACGUUCUGCCUCACCUACGAGGCCUCAAUGACACGGCUGUUCCGAGAGGGGAGGACUGAGACUAUAUGAUCCUGCUCCAAUGAGGGCUGUGCCUUUGUUUUGGCUGCCUGAUGAAGCAAAUUAAAAUGGGGGGUGCAAAUAUAUGUUUUUUUACCACAAAAUUAUAAUCGGAUUGGAUAAUUUGUAAAUGUUUACUUAUUUUUGUAGCUAGUCUGUAUUUAAAUAUAUAUAUAUUUGACCAUUUCAUAAAUGGUAUAAAUGCGUGAUAUGAUGGCAUUUUGCAAACCCGCUCCCCCUGUGUCUGAAUGGUUUUGACCACUAAAGUUAUGCUUUACUACACGCUCCACUGCUUUGAUUGGUGUAACGUUAGCUAGAAACCACAAGUGUCUAUCCAGAUAAUGAAAAGACACCAGCGAAGGAAAAUUCAAGGAACUUAUAGUUAUAUGUAAUUUGUGGCGUGCAUGAUCAUAAGCAAAGUCAUUGUAGCCUAUCAUUGCAAUUCCCCUGUGAGAACCAUAAGCAUGUGCUGACUUGGCUUUGCUGUACCCCUGUACCCCUGUACCCCUGCUGUACCAAAGGUUGCACUGUGUCCAUUUCAAUGUCGAAAAAUGCAUAUCAUCUAUCUUUCAAUAGUUAUGCAUAUUAACGUAACUUCAUAUUGUUCUCUGUAACUGUUUUUAUGGCGGAUUCUUGGCCGCAAUUUGUGGAAGAUGCCAAGACUUUGGAGGUAACGAUAGAUGGCGGUGUCAAAGAUAGGCCAGUGGUUUCCAUCGGUGGCAGAACCAGCCAUAGAGCUACAGAACCAGCCAUAGAGCUACAGUAACUGACUACUGGUGUAGUAAAAAAACAGCAACAGAUAACAUUAACUAGAUAGAUAAGGUUAGCAAGAUAGCUAGAUGAAUAAUGUUAGCAUGCUAGCUAGAUAAUGCUAGCUAGCUACAAAGACUGCUGUCAGUGCCCUGUUUGUUGAUGAUUACGUUGAAAUAGUGGCGGCAACUUCCUCUGGGGGGGUUCCUUUAAGUUCCCCAGAAUGGGAUCAUCUAUGGCAGAAAGGAAGAGGCAAAGCAAGAGGUUUCACUCUCGCCAAAAUGUUUCCAAAAUAAGCCAAUGCAUUUCUAUGGGCUUCUUUUGACCCUACGCUUGUCGCCUGCCUUCCCGCCUUUGGGACGACUCCCCCCAUUGUUGGGGUGGAGACCUGAGCAUCUCAUCAUUAUAUACAGAUCUCUGUCUAUAGGUGUCCGCUCCAGCCGACCCAGCAGCACUAGUUUAAUGUAUAUGUCAGUGUUUCCCAAUCCUGAUUCUGGGGAUCCAAAAAAAGUGUUCUUGCCCUAGCACUAACUUGAUGAUUCGUUGAGUCAAGUGUGUCAGUUCUAGGGCAAAGAAACUAAUCACCAGGACCAGGAAUGGGAAACACUGGUAGCCUAUGUGUUGCUCAGAACCUAGGUGGUUUGAACCUAAUCCAUGUUUACGUUUUUUGUUUGUUGUAUGUAUAUUAAGUAGGAUGCUCAUAUUGUCUGUCAUUUUGCAUAUUAAGAAUUAUUUAAAUGUAAACGUGACUGUGAAAAUACCUUUAACCAAUGGUAAUGGUAGUAUGAAUGAAAUACUUUUCAUGGCCUAGUAGGUA